UAGGGAAUAUUGCGCAAUGGGGGAAACCCUGACGCAGCAACGCCGCGUGAGUGAGGAAGGUCUUCGGAUUGUAAAACUCUUUUAUUAGGGAAAAAUUGUCUAGUGGUUAAUACCCAUUAGAUUUGAUGGUACCUAAGGAAUAAGCACCGGCUAACUUCGUGCCAGCAGCCGCGGUAAUACGAAGGGUGCAAGCGUUGUUCGGAAUCAUUGGGCGUAAAGCGAGCGCAGGCGGAUUGAUAAGUCAGGUGUGAAAUCUCGAGGCUCAACCUCGAAACUGCGCCUGAAACUAUUAGUCUAGAAUGUCGGAGGGGAUAGGGGAAUUUCACGUGUAGGGGUAAAAUCCGUAGAGAUGUGAAGGAACACCGGAGGCGAAGGCGCCUAUCUGGACGACUAUUGACGCUGAGGCUCGAAAGCGUGGGGAGCAAACAGG
rnacentral:rRNA from 1 species